GAACAGCGGCUGAACGUCCUGCAGCUCCGUCUUCCAGACACACGUGUUGUAAAUCUGAACAGCUCCACUGAAACCUGGUGAAGAGGAAGACAGAAGCACAGCGACAUCAGAAACUCACAUUCAGCUCCAGGAGACAGAAGCUCUGCUGCUAGAUUCUAUCUCACUACUUCAACCUUUUUUUUCUUCUUCUGUGAAUUAUAAACCCGUCUCUACUGGGAACCAUAACUAAAUGUAUUCUAUAAAACAAGUUUGGGCUCAGGUUUUGUUUUCUUGACCUGCAAAGACCUCUAAGGUUGUGUAAAGUGUAACUGGUGAUCAUGCUCAGGGUAUCUGCAGACUUUGAACAGUGAUGACUUUAAAUUGUUUUGUUUCGGUCAGUUAAAGCUGUAAAUAUUUAUUUUAAAGCCCGACUUUAACAACAGUUUAUUUGUUGGUAGAUCAUAUAUUAUAUAUGAAGACUGGUCCAACUUUCAGAGCACCACAAUAAACUUCAAUAAUAAAAGA